AUCCAACUGACAAGUUCAAAGCAGAACGAAACUUGAGUCGUGGAU
rnacentral:hammerhead_ribozyme from 1 species